rnacentral:misc_RNA from 1 species
GAUGAAGAACGCAGCGAAAUGCGAUAAGUAAUGUGAAUUGCAGAAUUCAGUGAAUCAUCGAAUCUUUGAACGCACAUUGCGCCCCCUGGUAUUCCGGGGGGCAUGCCUGUUCGAGCGUCAUUUCACCACUCAAGCCUCGCUUGGUAUUGGGCAACGCGGUCCGCCGCGUGCCUCAAAUCGACCGGCUGGGUCUUCUGUCCCCUAAGCGUUGUGGAAACUAUUCGCUAAAGGGUGUUCGGGAGGCUACGCCGUAAAACAACCCCAUUUCUAAGGUUGACCUCGGAUCAGGUAGGGAUACCCGCUGAACUUAAGCAUAUCAAUAGGCGGAGGA